rnacentral:misc_RNA from 1 species
GAUGAAGAACGCAGCGAAAUGCGAUAAGUAAUGUGAAUUGCAGAAUUCAGUGAAUCAUCGAAUCUUUGAACGCAUCUUGCGCUCCUUGGUAUUCUGAGGAGCAUGCCUGUUUGAGUGUCAUUAAAUUCUCAACUACACUGACUUUGAAUUGGUGUGGCUUGGAUUUGGGGGGAAAAUUGUUGUGGGCUUUUUGUAUAGUCUGCUCCCCUGAAAUUGAUUAGCGGUACCUUUGUGGAACUGUCUACAGGUGUGAUAAUUAUCUACAUCUUAGACAUCUGCUGGAAUGCUGCUUUCUAAACCUUACUUGUAUUGACAAUCUUGACCCCAAAUCAGGUAGGACUACCCGCUGAACUUAAGCAUAUCAAUAAGCGGAGGA